UGAUUGAUGAUAAAAAUGUGUUAAAGGUUGGUGGUGGAGUAGGUAAAAGGGUAAGAGGAGAAGUUCUCAAAAGAAUCAAUAAAAGGGUGGUGGUGGUGGUGAUGCAUAUGAGAUUCCAAAGACAGGUGGUAUAGGCCCUUCAUAUACAGGUGGUGGUGGCGGCGAUGAAUAUACCGGUGGUGGAGGUGAGGGAUAUGCAUAUACUGGUGAUGGUGGGGGUGAGGUGUAUACCGGUGGUGGCGGUGAGGGAUAGGCAUAUACUGGUGAUGGUGGUGGUGAUGGGGAUGGUGGUGGGUGAUAAGGUGUUUGAUGUGGCGCUGGCGAUGAUGGUGGUGGAGGUUCUACACAAGGUGGCGGUGGAGGUGGUGGAGGUUCUACACAAGGUGGUGGAGAUGGCGGUGGUGGUGAAUAGACUGGUGGUGGAGGUGAGUGUACUGGAGGAGGUGGUGGGGGUGAUAAAUAUGGAUAUACGGGUGGAGGAGGUGAGUGAGGUGGUGGUGGUGGCGAAC
rnacentral:lncRNA from 1 species